UCUCGGGAGCUCGAGUGGAGUCCGGAAGGCGGUCGACUGCCGUAGCAACUUGGAUGAAGUCUGGUUACUGUAGAAAUCUUCAUUGUCAGAGAAGCUCAGAUAUUGACGAAGUCUGGAAGAAGUUCGGAUUAGGGUCGUCCGUGGCCGGAAGAAGUCUGGAAGGAAUUCGGAGAAUAGUGAUCACUGUAGAAGGUCGGCUGAAGCCUAAAGAGCCUUCGGAGUGGCCCGAUAAAUGAAUGGCGAAGCUCAUUGUCGGAGAAGCCCGAAAGCUCGGACGGUCGAGGGGGUUCAGAGAGGUGCCACACA
rnacentral:lncRNA from 1 species